rnacentral:rRNA from 1 species
GGAUUGGAGGAAAGCAGGGGAUCGUAAGACCUUGCGCUUUUGGAGUGGCCGAUGCCUGAUUAGCUAGUUGGUGGGGUAAGAGCCUACCAAGGCGACGAUCAGUAGUUGGUCUGAGAGGACGACCAGCCACACUGGGACUGAGACACGGCCCAGACUCCUACGGGAGGCAGCAGUGGGGAAUUUCGGACAAUGGGCGGAAGCCUGAUCCAGCAAUGCCGCGUGAGUGAAGAAGGCCUUCGGGUUGUAAAGCUCUUUCAGUCGAGAAGAAAAGGUUGCGACUAAUAAUCGCAACUUAUGACGGUAUCGACAGAAGAAGCACCGGCUAACUACGUGCCAGCAGCCGCGGUAAUACGUAGGGUGCGAGCGUUAAUCGGAAUUACUGGGCGUAAAGGGUGCGCAGGCGGCUCUGUAAGUCAGAUGUGA